GUUCCACCUUCUCUUACCUUGAUCUGCAACAUAUACAAACACUUGUGAGUAUAAAACUAAAUACAAGAAGUCAAAUGCUUUCCUGACCUUCUUUUGUCCAAAGAGAUUAUCACUUUAGAAAGACAGCUCUAUGUUUCCAAACCUAUGCUGACACAUGUAAAAAAUUGACAUAUGCAUCAUGGAAAAAAUUGACAUAUGCAAAAAGAUGUUCUAUACUAUUGUUCUUUCUCUCAAUCAACCCAUCACACGGUGACGCAUGCAAAAAGUUGACAUAUGCAAAAAGAUAUCCUAUACAAUUGUUCUCUCUCUCAAUCAACCCAUCACACGGUGACGCAUGCAAAAAGUUGACAUAUGCAAAAAGAUAUCCUAUACAAUUGUUCUC
rnacentral:misc_RNA from 1 species